UGGGGAAUCUUCCGCAAUGGACGAAAGUCUGACGGAGCGACGCCGCGUGAGUGAAGAAGGCCUUCGGGUCGUAAAGCUCUGUCAUCAGGGACGAACGGCCGGUGGAGUGGAAAGCCACCGGAUUGACGGUACCUGAGAAGGAAGCCACGGCUAACUACGUGCCAGCAGCCGCGGUAAUACGUAGGUGGCAAGCGUUGUCCGGAAUUAUUGGGCGUAAAGCGCGCGCAGGUGGGAUCUUAAGUCCAUUUUUAAAGUUCGGAGCUCAACUCCGUGAUGGGAUGGAAACUGGGAUUCUUGAGUACCGGAGAGGAAAGCGGAAUUCCCCGUGUAGCGGUGAAAUGCGUAGAUAUGGGGAGGAACACCAGUGGCGAAGGCGGCUUUCUGGACGGUGUCUGACACUGAGGCGCGAAAGCCAGGGGAGCGAACGGG
rnacentral:rRNA from 2 species